rnacentral:rRNA from 1 species
UACAGAGGGUGCAAGCGUUAAUCGGAAUUACUGGGCGUAAAGCGUGCGUAGGUGGUGAGUUAAGUCUGUCGUGAAAGCCCCGGGCUCAACCUGGGAAUGGCGAUGGAUACUGGCUCGCUAGAGUGCGGUAGAGGAGAGUGGAAUUCCCGGUGUAGCAGUGAAAUGCGUAGAGAUCGGGAGGAACAUCAGUUGCGAAGGCGGCUCUCUGGACCAGCACUGACACUGAGGCACGAAAGCGUGGGGAGCAAACAGG